rnacentral:rRNA from 2 species
UUUGGCCUCGGAUCAGGUGGGGAUACCCGCUGAACUUAAGCAUAUCAAUAAGCGGAGGAAAAGAAACCAACCGGGAUUGCCCUAGUAACGGCGAGUGAAGCGGCAACAGCUAAAAUUUGAAAUCUGGGGUCGAUUGCGGCCUCCGAGUUGUAGUUUGCAGAGGGAGCCUCGGAGGGCUGAGCGGUCCAAGUGCCUUGGAACAGGAUACCUAAGAGGGUGAGAGUCCCGUAUCUGGCCGGAUCAGCGCUCCGUGUGAGGCCUCUUCGACGAGUCGAGUUGUUUGGGAAUGCAGCUCCAAGCGGGUGGUAAAUUCCAUCUAAAGCUAAAUACUGGCCAGAGACCGAUAGCGAACAAGUAGAGUGAUCGAAAGAUGAAAAGCACUUUGAAAAGAGAGUCAAACAGUACGUGAAAUUGUUGAAAGGGAAGCGCAUGGGGGCAGACUUGGCCGCGGGGUUCAGGGUGUCAUUUUUGGCGCCUGUACUUCCUCGCGGACAGGCCAGCAUCGGUUCUGGGGGCCGGACAAAGGCGGCGGGAACGUGGCUCUCCUCGGAGAGUGUUAUAGCCCGCCGUGCAAUGCGGCCACCUGGGACCGAGGACCGCGCCUUGUGCAAGGAUGCUGGCGUAAUGGCCUCAUGCGGCCCGUCUUGAAACACGGACC